UGGUGGUAGUAGCAAAUAUUCAAAUGAGAACUUUGAAGAGUGAAGUGGGGAAAUGUUCCAUGUGAACAUCACUUGGACAUGGAUGGUUAGUCGAUCCUAAGAGAUGGGAAAUCCUUAUAUCAAGGGUGCACUCUGCAUGAACAUCAAAAGAGAAUCAGGUUAAUAUUCCUGAACCGGGACAUGGUGGUGGACAACAAUGUUAGGAAAUUUGGAGAUGUCAUCGGGGGCCUAAGAAGAGUUGUCUUUUCUUUUUAAUGACUUUCCCACCCUGAAAUCGGUUCAACCAGAUAUAGGGUCCAACAUCUGGAAGAGAACCACAUGUCUUGCGGUGUUUGGUUCCCCCUCAACGGCCAUUGAAAAUAUGGAGAACUGAGUACCAUCCAUGCCCGAUCGUACUCAUAUCUGCUUCCUUUGAUUUUUCAAUGCCCACUAGGUUAAUGAUCUUGAUG
rnacentral:ncRNA from 1 species